GGCUCAGAACGAACGCUGGCGGCGUGCUUAACACAUGCAAGUCGAACGAACCUUCGGGUUAGUGGCGGACGGGUGAGUAACGCGUGAGAAUCUGCCCUCAGGAGGGGGAUAACGGUUGGAAACGACCGCUAAUACCCCAUAUGCCGAGAGGUGAAAAGAAAUUCGCCUGAGGAUGAGCUCGCGUCUGAUUAGCUAGUUGGUGUGGUAAUGGCGCACCAAGGCUUCGAUCAGUAGCUGGUCUGAGAGGAUGAUCAGCCACACUGGGACUGAGACACGGACCAGACUCCUACGGG
rnacentral:rRNA from 1 species